rnacentral:rRNA from 1 species
GACGAACGCUGGCGGCGUGCUUAACACAUGCAAGUCGAGCGGAAAGGCCACUUCGGUGGUACUCGAGCGGCGAACGGGUGAGUAACACGUGAGUAAUCUGCCCCUGGCUUUGGGAUAGCCACCGGAAACGGUGAUUAAUACCGGAUACGACCACUUCUCGCAUGGGAUGGUGGUGGAAAGUUUUUUCGGCCAGGGAUGUGUGGGCGGCCUAUCAGCUUGAUGGUGAGGUAAUGGCUCACCAUGGCUUCGACGGGUAGCCGGCCUGAGAGGGUGACCGGUCAAACUGGGACUGAGACACGGCCCAGACUCCUACGGGAGGCAGCAGUGGGGAAUAUUGGACAAUGGGCGGAAGCCUGAUCCAGCAACGCCGCGUGAGGGAUGACGGCCUUCGGGUUGUAAACCUCUUUCAGCAGGGACGAAGCGCAAGUGACGGUACCUGCAGAAGAAGCACCGGCCAACUACGUGCCAGCCGCCGCAGUAA